UACUCGAGUGGCGAACGGGUGAGUAACACGUGGGUGAUCUGCCCUGCACGUUCGGGAUAAGCCUAGGGAAACGUGGGUCUAAUACCGGAUAGGAGCCAUUUUUAGUGUGAUGGUUGGAAAGUUUUUUCGGUGUAGGAUGAGCUCGCGGCCUAUCAGCUUGUUGGUGGGGUAAUGGCCUACCAAGGCGGCGACGGGUAGCCGGCCUGAGAGGGUGGACGGCCACAUUGGGACUGGGAUACGGCCCAG
rnacentral:rRNA from 1 species